AGUAUUCAAAAUAUUAGAUUUAUUAAAAAGGUAACAGCUCCUUGCUUCUACUGCUCCAUCUUCAGCAACCUACUUUGGUUUUCAGCUCUACAGAAGCAUUUCUUUCCUUUCUCAAAAGAACAGUCGACCAUGCAGCUUUACCUGCCUCACUGAGGGAUACAUCUGACUGUAUAGAUCUCUUAGAACUAAAAUGAGCUGACUGCCUCCAGUAAUUUGUGACCUCGUACUUGGAGACGGAACUCAAUUAAUUAUGUGCCAAACAGUUAUUCUACAUAUCUCCCCUCCCCCACCCGCUUUUAAAAAUAGUUGCCUAACAGAUUGCAGAAGACUGUGCCCUGGGCUUUUCUGGAACACAGCUUCUUAGUGUUAUUUCUUAGAAUAUAAAUCAAGGACAAGGUUUAUAAUCAAAUCUCAUAGGUUUAGAAGUCAUUUUUGUUUAGAGAUCAACAUGGUUUGAUCUCAAGCAGUUCUUGGGACUAGAGGAAACAUUGUCAAUUCAUGUUGUUUGCCUUAAAAAAAAAAAAGCAAACAAAACUUGAAGGUCUGCAUUCCAGAUUUGUCUUAACCAGUGACAAUUAAUGAAAACAUCUGUCCAGUUCCCUCUUUAAAGAUCUUCAGAGGAGGAAUUCUGGGCAUGUGAAGAAUCAAGUUGACAGUGCAGACCUCCAUCUAUAGCACAGCAAGGUCUGGGCGGGGGCAUGGCAGGGAGCUUAGUUCUGGCUUCCUGCUAAGAAAUCAGUAGACGGCAUUUACUCUUCGUUUUGUGGUGGUUUUCCACAAAAUUUAUAAGAAAGCAAAAGGAAGUUUCUAAACUACUGCCAGAUGGCAAGUACGUGGAGCUCUGAAGCAAGGCUAAAACCCAAUCAAAAAAAGAAAAAACACAUUUAGGACAAGACAGUUGGGCCUUUUUUGAGAAUACCUGAAAUUGAAGCAUUUGCAAAACUUGUGUGAAGACAUAGGCAGAGUGUUUAUACAAAAUAAUUUCUUGAGUGGAGAUUUAGGAAUCAAAGUCAAACAUGAGUGACAAAGAUGACCUCAAAAUGGUCUCCUAAUUUCUGCCUAUUCUCUGCUCUUGUUAGCUGUAUUUCUUUCCUGUUCAGGCUAUUUUUGAAGAGCUGGCUUCCUUUUCCCCACCUUUGGUACAGAUCAACUGUUGCUGUACCCCCUGCCCUACCCCAGGACGAAUGGUGGCUUUUCAAAAUGUCCGUUGUAGGAAAACAAAACCUGUAUAUAUUAAGGUCUUGUUUCAUCUGUGAUAUGGUGUCUUUUCCAUUCUCACUGAAGCUGCCCUGAAUUAGCUUUACUGACUUUUUCAAAAAACGCCUAACAGUUCUACCUACCCGUAAUCACUCCUUGCUCUGGUACUUUCUGUAUGAACCAGGAACAUUUUCAAAACAAAACAGACUCCUGGUAUUUUCGAGAUUGUCCUGCUACAUAGCAGUGGUGUUUAUCAACAUUUCCCAUUCUGUUGAUUUCAUGCUCAUACAUUAAUAAGGCACUUUCAAAUCACAAAAGCUUAAUUUCUUGAGAAUCGUAUCUUGUUCAGUAUUCCUGUCUCAUAAAGUCAGCCUCUAUAGAAGGCACAUUCUCAAGUACAGGAAUACAUUUUAUACUCAACCAGACAGCAAGCAAGAGAAGGUGUCAGGUAAGUUCCUUGGUUCCUCUGCUGUGACUUGGAUGGUUUAAUAAGAUUUGGGUUGACAUCUCCACGAUUGCUUGAGUAACAACAAUGCUGUCAUUUGUAUCCUGACCAGAGCCUUGCGCUUAAAGUUGAUUUUCUAGUUGAACUGAUAGAUCUGUUUGUCGCUUCUUACCCAGUCCCUCUUCUUACUAUCUCUGCACAUUUACAGAAUUUAAAUGGCGUGGCCUGUGAGCAUGAAACAGAAAGCCAGUGGACCACAAGGGGACUGAACCCCUGACACUGGGCUCAUUAGCUCCAUUCUUAAACUAGGACAGCCAAACAGCCAGUUAGUGAUUCACUUGGCAGCAGUGGCCAGACUCGUGCUGAUCUAGUCCAGAACAGGAAAGUAUGUCAGAAGCAGAGGGCAGCUAUCAAGAGCCAAGACCCCCUAUACCCAUUAGGCCAGUGAUUUUUAGCAUCACACUGUUUCACACUGAACUUCAGAAUCACCAACAAUCUUUUAAUAAUGCGGCUUUUACCCUCCCAACAGAAGAGGAAAAUAUUUGCCACUUAUAUUAUUUUUUAAUGUUUGAGAAAACUUGAACAUUUUUUCAACUUUAAUCAUACUGUGUUCUGCAGCUAAAUUUUUGGUUCAGCUUUGGGUUGAGAUUCAUCCAUGUUGUGUUUUGGAAUUUAUCCCCUGUUUUGAUUCCAUUUUAUGACUGUAUUGUAAAUCAUUCUACUCUGAUUAUUCUAUAUUCGAUUAUUUCCAGUUUUUUGUUAUUAUAAGUAGUUCUGCUAUGCAUAUUCUUGUGCAGGUCUCCUGUUCUGCACAUGCAAGAGUUGCUCCAGGGUACAUACAUACCUAGGAGUAGAACUGCAGGAUUGUAGGAUAUAUCACCAAUUUUACCAGAUGAUGUCCAAAUGUCCACUUUCCUCAGUGUCACAUAUAUAUGCUGUCUUCUGUCACCUUUUAAGAAUUUUACAGUUUUUCCUGUCACAUUUAAGUCUGAAAUUCAUUUGGAAUUGAUGUGGACUACUACACACAUGUAUGAAGGCACUGGUCCAAAUUCCUUUGUUUCCUAAAGAUAAUCACCAGCACCAUUCAUUGGGAAGUCCGUCUGUUUCGUGAUCUGCAAGGCUGGCUCUCAGAAAUUGAGGGUCCAUAUGUGUGCAUGUUUGUUUCUCAAGUCUCUGUUUGGACUUUGGUUAAUUUUACUUACCCCAGUGCCAAAAUUACCCUUUGAGUACAGUGUGAUAUGACUUCUUGCCAUCUGGUGAGGUUACUCCCCCCACCUGUUGGUCUUUAGGGAGUGUUUUCCAAAUGUUCUUUCAAAGAGUUAGCUGAAUUUAUAAUUAGGCCAGGAAGAUCGAAACAAAGUUUAGAUAUUUUGAUCAGUAAACCUGAAAGUAAAUGUGUUUUACCUGAAUUUUAUUUGGUCAUAAAAAUAAAACAAAAUUUAGAUUUGAGAUGAGAAUUUGUGCUCAUAAAAAGCAUUUUCUUUAUUGUGCAGUAUCUGCAAACCAUAUUAAUACAGGUAUGUCAAACUUGUUUGGAUUGGUUGUGCUGUUUGUAUCACAAAUUUAAUUAACAUUGGCCUUGGACCACUUCCCUGAGCAGUAAUACAGAUAAUGCCUGGCCAAUGAAGCCACAUGAGACUCUAACUAGAUUUCAUGAAAUAAAGGGUCUCAAAUUAUUUUAAGUGCUUAUAAUUUUUAGUAAUAUGCAGGCCUAUGCACAAAUACCAAAAGGGAAACUCAACUAAGAGUGCAUGUGUGCUGGUGUUUACUAAGGGAAUAGAGAAUUUUAAUGUACACAUUCAGCCUGGGAAACUUUGUAUUGUUUAUUAAAUAAACCAGAGAAAGCAAGAGAGGAAUCAGCACAGUGGGAAAUAAGGUCAGCAGAUAAGGCUUUUUUUUGCUACUCUGUUUCCUGUUCUGGGUGGCUCUGCAGUCCACUCUGAGAAUUUCAUUCCUUUUACCCAGAUUGAAAAUUUCCCAUUUCCUGUCGCUCUCUACCACCUCCCCCAUUCUUGAGCUGCCAAACCAAAGCAGUUCAAACAGAUAAAGACACAGCUAAUUUGUUGAAGAGCACAGAGCUUUCGGUAAACAGCUUCUUCCUGGAUAUUACUGUGUAGAGAUGACCCGACCCUUAUCAGCAGAUUUAAGAAUUGACCAAGUUAUUAUCGUACCAUAUCUGAUGGGUCUGUGCUCAGCAGGGCAACUCCUCCUUGCCUUCUUCACAACAAAAAGAAGGAAUGACUACAAUAGCUGCAAAAAUGCUUUAUUGGGGGGUGGCAGGAUUUUUUUUAAUCCGUCUACAUGUUUGGAAUAAAGCAGAGCAGAUGAUAGCUGGGUAGGGUUAUGCACGUAGGAAAGGCUCCUGUGAGUAUCAGUGACGGUUCUGGCACAAAGAGCUGAAUUCAGAAAGCCCUGUUCUCUUAUGAAUUAUCAAAUUGGUGAAGAUGUUGCCAUGUUUUAAGUGAUUAGUCUAAAACUAGCUAGACCCCGUCAAACUUGACUAUAUUGACUAUACAGGGUAGAAACAGUUAUGAAAGGAAUAGGAUAGGAAAGUGUCUUAGGGGAUCAAAGAAGUUUUGAGUUUAAAAACCUAGCAUUUCACUGGGAAAUCACUAUGCUCAAUGUAGGUGGAGUAUUGGGUACUUAAACAUUUUCAAUUCUGUGGUAUUUUUUUCCGGAUAAAUUACAGUCAGAAACCGAGGUUGGUCUGAUCCUACCACAUAACUAACUGGUAACUAAUUAAAAGCACUUGAGUAACACUUUUUUUUUUGAAGUACAGUUGACAGUGUUACAUUAGCUUCAGGUGUACAACAGAGUGAUUUGGCCAAGUCUUACAUUCUUGCCAUCCUCACCACAAGCGCAGCUGCCAUCUGCCCCCUCACAGCACUAUUACAACCCCUGUGCUGCACCCUUUGCCCCCAAGAUUCAUCCUGUAACUGGAGGCCUGGAUCUCCCACUCCCCUUCAUCCGUCCCUUUAUCCUCCUCUCCUCUGGCAACCAUCAGUUUGUUCUCUGUACUUAAGGGUCUGUUUCUGCUUGUUUAUUCAUUUCCUUUGUUUUUUUAGAUUCCACAUGUGAGUCAUAUGAUACUUGUCUUUCUCAGGCUGAUUUAUUUCACUUAGCAUAAUAUCCUCUAGGUCUGUCCAUGCUGUUGCAAAUGGUAAGAUGUGUCAUCCUUUUUUGUGGCUCACUGAAUAACUCCAUUGUGUGUAUGUGUAUACACACCACAUCUUUAUCCAUUUGUCUAUUGAUGGGUACUUUGGUUGCUUCUGUAUCUUGGCUGUUGUAAAUAAUGCUGCAAUAAACAUAAGGGUGGAUAUAUCUUUUUAGAAUUAAUGUUUUUGUUUUCUUUGGGUAAAUACCCAGUAGUGGAUUUACUGGAUCAUAUGGGAUUUCUAUUUAAAAAAUUCUUAAGGACCCUCCAGUUUGCAUUCCCACUAACAGUGCAUGAGGAUUCCUUUCUCUCCAAAUCCUCUUCAACACUUGUUUCUUGAGUUUUUGAGUCUAACCACUCUGACAGGUGUGAGAUGACAUCUCAUAGUGGUUCUGGUUUGCAAAGACUUUUAACAUAAAAAGGAACAAAAACUAUGGUGUACAGAACACAAAAAGUAAAAUCUGCCACCUGUUGCUUUUCGGCUUGUAUAAGAGCAGAGGGUCAAGAACAGCAAGUGGCUUUUCUUCUACAAAGUUUGUGUCUCUAGGGGAUGGAUAUGUUAACUAACUAGAUGGUAGAAAUCCUUUCAUAUUAUAUGCAUUUACCAAAUCACCAUGAUGUACACUUUAUUUUUUUUUUAAGAUUUAUUUAAGAGAGAGAGAGAGAGAGCAUGAGCAAGAGGAGGAGAGGGAGAAGGAGAAAGAAUCUCAAGCAGAUUAGCAGAUUCCCUGCUGAACACAGAGCCCAACACAGAACUUGAUCUCUUGACCCUGAGAUCACAAUCUGAACAGAAAUUAAGAAUAAAACGCUUAACUAACUGCACCACUCAGGUGCCCCUACACUUUAAGUAUCUUACAAUUUUUUUCAGUUAUGCCUUGAUAAAGCUGAAAAAGAAAAUAAGUUCAUGUCUCUAGGUCCCUGACCUUUGAUGUUCAAGGUUGUGUAAAAAAUAAUUUGUACCAAGUUAAAAUUACUGAUUAACUAUAGCAUCAGCAGGUCUCUAACUUGCUGAUUUAAGAUAAAGAAUUGGAAGAGAGCUUGGUUGGUCUCCUGUCCCCAGUGCUUUCAUGUUCAUGUGAAACUGAGAGUGUAAACCUGAAACUGUGUCUCUCAAGGCCCUGGCCAGGGUUCUUUUCAUGGACUGAUGUCUCUGUAUAGAGACCACUACCAAUGGGGUUCCUCAAGAUUCAUGCAGGGUUUGUUUUUAACACUACUGGUACAGAGAAGGAAAUCUGGGUUCCACUUCUAGUCUGCCUUGGUACUAAUUAGUUAUAGCCAUGUUGCUUUGAACAGGUCACUUGGCUGGAGUCUCGUCUAGAAAAUGAGGAUGGAUUGUCUAAGUCUUUAGAUCUUGUACAUGAACGCACUCAGCAUGUCUCUUAAAGCAUAGCUGGUGUGCAUGUCUGUUUCCUCUAUAUUAAACUAUGCUGAGGUUGUAAAAAUUCUAAGUUGUCCUAAUUCCUUGAUUUCUAAAAUAGCCAUUAUUAUAUUCAAUGAACAUAUACGUGUUAACUGAUCCUAAGUAGAAACUAUGAGGCUCUGGGAUGCCUGGGAGGCUCAGGUGGUUAAGCAUCUGCCUUUGGCUCAAGGCGUGAUCCUGGGAUCGAGUCCCAACACAUCAGGCUCCUUGCAUGGAGCCUGCUUCUCCCUCUGCCUGUGUGUCUCUGCCUCUCUCUCUCUCUCUCUGUGUCUCUCAUGAAUAAAUAAAAUCUAAAAAAAAAAAAAAAAA
rnacentral:lncRNA from 1 species